GUGUCAGCCGCCGCGGUAAUACGUAGGUGGCAAGCGUUGUCCGGAAUCACUGGGCUUAAAGCGCGUGUAGGCGGGCCAGCACGUCGGUCGCUGAAAUCCCCCGGCUCAACCGGGGAACGGGCGCCGAUACGACUGGCCUGGAGGGAGGUAGGGGGAGCCGGAACUCACGGUGGAGCGGUGAAAUGCGUUGAGAUCGUGAGGAACGCCCGUGGCGAAAGCGGGCUCCUGGACCUCGCCUGACGCUGAGACGCGAAAGCCAGGGGAGCGAACGGGAUUAGAUACCCCGGUAGUCC
rnacentral:rRNA from 1 species